GGUUGAGUUAGAAAGGGCGCACGGUGGAUGCCUUGGCACUAGGAGCCGAUGAAGGACGGGACGAACACCGAUAUGCUUCGGGGAGCUGUAAGCAAGCUUUGAUCCGGAGAUUUCCGAAUGGGGAAACCCACCACUCGUAAUGGAGUGGUAUCCAUAUCUGAAUACAUAGGAUAUGAGAAGGCAGACCCGGGGAACUGAAACAUCUAAGUACCCGGAGGAAGAGAAAGCAAAUGCGAUUCCCUGAGUAGCGGCGAGCGAAACGGGACUAGCCCAAACCCCCCCCCCCCCCCCCCCCCCCCCCCCCCCCCCCCCCCCCCCCCCCCCCCCCCCCCCCCCCCCCCCCCCCCCCCCCCCCCCCCCCCCCCCCCCCCCCCCCCAAGAGGCUUGCCUCUUGGGGUUGUAGGACACUCUGUACGGAGUUACAAAGGAACGAGGGUAGAUGAAGAGGUCUGGAAAGGCCCGCCAUAGGAGGUAACAGCCCUGUAGUCAAAACUUCGUUCUCUCCUGAGUGGAUCCUGAGUACGGCGGAACACGUGAAAUUCCGUCGGAAUCCGGGAGGACCAUCUCCCAAGGCUAAAUACUCCCUAGUGACCGAUAGUGAACCAGUACCGUGAGGGAAAGGAGAAAAGCACCCCGGAAGGGGAGUGAAAGAGAUCCUGAAACCGUGUGCCUACAAGUAGUCAGAGCCCGUUAACGGGUGAUGGCGUGCCUUUUGUAGAAUGAACCGGCGAGUUACGAUCCCGUGCAAGGUUAAGCAGAAGAUGCGGAGCCGCGGCGAAAGCGAGUCUGAAUAGGGCGAAUUGAGUACGUGGUCGUAGACCCGAAACCAGGUGAUCUACCCAUGUCCAGGGUGAAGUUCAGGUAACACUGAAUGGAGGCCCGAACCCACGCACGUUGAAAAGUGCGGGGAUGAGGUGUGGGUAGGGGUGAAAUGCCAAUCGAACCUGGAGAUAGCUGGUUCUCUCCGAAAUAGCUUUAGGGCUAGCCUCAAGGUAAGAGUCUCGGAGGUAGAGCACUGAUUGGACUAGGGGCCCCUACCGGGUUACCGAAUUCAGUCAAACUCCGAAUGCCGAUGACUUAUCCUUGGGAGUCAGACUGCGAGUGAUAAGAUCCGUAGUCGAAAGGGAAACAGCCCAGACCGCCAGCUAAGGUCCCAAAGUAUACGUUAAGUGGAAAAGGAUGUGGAGUUGCUUAGACAACCAGGAUGUUGGCUUAGAAGCAGCCACCAUUUAAAGAGUGCGUAAUAGCUCACUGGUCGAGUGACUCUGCGCCGAAAAUGUACCGGGGCUAAAACGUAUCACCGAAGGCGCGGACUGUUCUUCGAACAGUGGUAGGAGAGCGUUCUAAGGGCUGUGAAGCAAGACCGGAAGGACUUGUGGAGCGCUUAGAAGUGAGAAUGCCGGUAUGAGUAGCGAAAGAGGGGUGAGAAUCCCCUCCACCGAAUGCCUAAGGUUUCCUGAGGAAGGCUCGUCCGCUCAGGGUUAGUCGGGACCUAAGCCGAGGCCGAAAGGCGUAGGCGAUGGAUAACAGGUUGAUAUUCCUGUACCACCUCCUCACCAUUUGAGCAAUGGGGGGACGCAGGAGGAUAGGGUAAGCGCGGUAUUGGAUAUCCGCGUCCAAGCAGUUAGGCUGGGAAAUAGGCAAAUCCGUUUCCCGUGAAGGCUGAGCUGUGAUGGCGAGCGAAUUAUAGUAGCGAAGUUCCUGAUUCCACACUGCCAAGAAAAGCCUCUAGCGAGGUGAGAGGUGCCCGUACCGCAAACCGACACAGGUAGGCGAGGAGAGAAUCCUAAGGUGAUCGAGAGAACUCUCGUUAAGGAACUCGGCAAAAUGACCCCGUAACUUCGGGAGAAGGGGUGCUCUGUUAGGGUGCAAGCCCGAGAGAGCCGCAGUGAAUAGGCCCAGGCGACUGUUUAGCAAAAACACAGGUCCCUGCGAAGCCGUAAGGCGAAGUAUAGGGGCUGACGCCUGCCCGGUGCUGGAAGGUUAAGAGGAGCGCUUAGCGUAAGCGAAGGUGCGAAUUGAAGCCCCAGUAAACGGCGGCCGUAACUAUAACGGUCCUAAGGUAGCGAAAUUCCUUGUCGGGUAAGUUCCGACCCGCACGAAAGGCGCAACGAUCUGGGCACUGUCUCAACGAGAGACUCGGUGAAAUUAUAGUACCUGUGAAGAUGCAGGUUACCCGCGACAGGACGGAAAGACCCCGUGGAGCUUUACUGCGUACUUCGAUAUUGAAUGUUGGUACAGCUUGUACAGGAUAGGUAGGAGCCUUGGAAACCGGAGCGCCAGCUUCGGUGGAGGCAUCGGUGGGAUACUACCCUGGCUGUAUUGACCUUCUAACCCGCGCCGCCCUUAUCGGGCGGGGAGACAGUGUCAGGUGGGCAGUUUGACUGGGGCGGUCGCCUCCUAAAAGGUAACGGAGGCGCCCAAAGGUUCCCCUCAGAAUGGUUGGAAAUCAUUCGCAGAGUGUAAAGGCACAAGGGAGCUUGACUGCGAGACCUACAAGUCGAGCAGGGACGAAAGUCGGGCCUAGUGAUCCGGUGGUCCCGCAUGGAAGGGCCAUCGCUCAACGGAUAAAAGCUACCCCGGGGAUAACAGGCUUAUCUCCCCCAAGAGUCCACAUCGACGGGGAGGUUUGGCACCUCGAUGUCCAUUAAAGCGGUACGCGAGCUGGGUUCAGAACGUCGUGAGACAGUUCGGUCCCUAUCCGUCGCGGGCGCAGGAAAUUUGAGAGGAGCUGUCCUUAGUACGAGAGGACCGGGAUGGACGCACCGCUGGUGUACCAGUUGUUCUGCCAAGGGCAUCGCUGGGUAGCUAUGUGCGGACGGGAUAAGUGCUGAAAGCAUCUAAGCAUGAAGCCCCCCUCAAGAUGAGAUUUCCCAUUCCGCAAGGAAGUAAGAUCCGAAAGAUGAUCAGGUUGAUAGGUCUGAGGUGGAAGUGUGGCGACACAUGGAGCUGACAGAUACUAAUCGAUCGAGGACUUAACCAA
rnacentral:rRNA from 1 species